UUUAAAACAAUCACAAGGCACCGGAUGGAGCCAUGGUGUCGCUGCAAAACAGCCUCAGGAAGGAACUUGUUUUGGUGGAACGUGUGUACGUAUAAAGGUUGUUUUAGUCAUGUAACAGAAAACUCAGAUUGGA